AUCGUCGGCCGACAUUGUGACUUCCGAUCGAAGCUGUGAUCUCCGCUGACUGAAACUUUGACUGUAGCAAUCAUUUGAACAAGGGUGUGGGAUGUGGCCAGCUUACGAAAAUUUGUCUCACCUUUCGGUAGAAUGAAUUGUGUACUUUGUAGUUUACGUGUACACUAUAAUCAUACAAUGUGUACAAUAAUUUGACGCUAUAUAGAGCUAGCCGUCUAUGAUUUGUUCAUUGAACAUGUCUACUAAAUCACUCGGACAGUCAAAUAAUAAUGUUUGGUACUCCUAAUUUAGUAUGAGUAGCUUUUGAAAGUGAACCAGUGUUGAUUGUUUGUAUUCUACUGCCACAUUUGUGAUCUCGCAAUUACCAAAUGUAGUACGAAUCCAUUCACAAUUGUCAUUA